GUAUUACCGAAAGCGAAAAUGUCUAUAUGAUGUGAUGCUUAUACUUUUAAAUGUUCUCUUAGCACCUUAAAAUAUUUUGUUGGAUACAUAAAUGUUUAUAGUUUUAAACAAAAUGAAGCCGGUUUGAGACAAACGACUGCGGCGGUGACUGAUAACCUGAACUUUAUUAUUUUGGCCCCAUGCAAGGUUUACCUUCUAUAUGUUGUAAGACGAGCAACCAGGCAAGUCAAAUAAUACUGUGUUUCUUGUACUGGUAAACUGAAUAAGACAUGUGUUCAUUCAAAGCUUCUCUUACAUUUUCACGUAUCAUUUUGAAUUGUCCAUAGUCUUUUCUCUUUUUUUUGUUUUCGAUUACAUAAUCAAUUAAGGACAUUUUGUGGCGAGCAUUGAGAGCGUGCGAUUCUCUUAUGUGUGGCAAACUAAUUUGUGUUUGAUUAUUGUCAUUGUUUCCACUAUGUAGAAACUUCUAUUGAAUUUUAUAUUUAAGCGAAGCUCCUGUUACCCCCAAACACGCACGUGGUAAUAAAUCGGUCGGUGCCAACGCUGUGAAUGGAAAUCUUGCACACAAGUACAAACUCUCAUUGUUCGAGAGACCAUUACCACUUAUCGUCAAAACCGAUGCUGGUGAAGGACACACACUGUCUUACAACCAUGAUACCCUUGAGGAACUUAGCCAAAUUGAGGAGCCGUUAUGUGUCAUAGCUGUAGCUGGAUGUCUGAGGACUGGAAAAUCGUACCUUCUUAGUCGCCUUGUACAGAAGUGUGGCCUUUCAGGAGAGUGUUUCACAGUUGGGCACUCAGUAGACACACAGACGUAAGGAAUAUGGAUCAUGUGCAGACCGCACCCGACCCAGAAAGGGAAUGUCAUUGUUUUUCUCGAUACGGAGGGAAUCGAUGCUCCAGAAAAGGUUGAAAUUCAAGAUGACACUUGGAUAUUCAUUAUUGCAACGCUGCUGUGCAAUGUCCUCGUCUACAAUACUAAAGGUGUCUUUGAUGCAUCACAAAUCAGCAAGUUUCGAUUUCUGAAACUGAUUCAAUCUAACGUGACGGUUGUUAGAAGUGGAAGUGAAGACGACAGUUUUCUCGAUUUCUUCUUUCCAAAUUUUGUUCUCGUUUUACGCGAUUUAAGAUUUAAAUCUGAU